AGAGUUUGAUCCUGGCUCAGAUUGAACGCUGGCGGCMUGCCUUACACAUGCAAGUCGAACGGCAGCACGGGAGCAAUCCUGGUGGCGAGUGGCGAACGGGUGAGUAAUACAUCGGAACGUGCCCAGUAGUGGGGGAUAACCCGGCGAAAGCCGGACUAAUACCGCAUACGACCUACGGGUGAAAGCGGGGGAUCGCAAGACCUCGCGCUAUUGGAGCGGCCGAUGUCAGAUUAGCUAGUUGGUGGGGUAAAAGCCUACCAAGGCGACGAUCUGUAGCUGGUCUGAGAGGACGACCAGCCACACUGGGACUGAGACACGGCCCAGACUCCUACGGGAGGCAGCAGUGGGGAAUUUUGGACAAUGGGGGCAACCCUGAUCCAGCCAUGCCGCGUGCGGGAAGAGGGCCUUCGGGUUGUAAACCGCUUUUGUCAGGGAAGAAAAGACUCCUACUAAUACUGGGGGUUCAUGACGGUACCUGAAGAAUAAGCACCGGCUAACUACGUGCCAGCAGCCGCGGUAAUACGUAGGGUGCAAGCGUUAAUCGGAAUUACUGGGCGUAAAGCGUGCGCAGGCGGUUAUGCAAGACAGAUGUGAAAUCCC
rnacentral:rRNA from 1 species